UCGAGGAUCUUCGGCAAUGGGGGCAACCCUGACCGAGCGACGCCGCGUGUGCGACGAAGGCCUUCGGGUUGUAAAGCACUGUCGAGGGGGAGAAAAGCGCAAGCUUGAUCUAUCCCUGGAGGAAGCUCGGGCUAAGUUCGUGCCAGCAGCCGCGGUAAGACGAACCGAGCGAACGUUGUUCGGAAUCACUGGGCUUAAAGGGCGCGUAGGCGGGCUGUCAAGUCCGGGGUGAAAUCCUCCCGCUUAACGGGAGAACGGCCUCGGAUACUGACGGUCUCGAGGAAGGUAGGGGCACGCGGAACCGUGGGUGGAGCGGUGAAAUGCGUUGAUAUCCAUGGGAACUCCGGUGGCGAAGGCGGCGUGCUGGACCUUUUCUGACGCUGAGGCGCGAAAGCCAGGGGAGCAAACGG
rnacentral:rRNA from 1 species